AUUUUUUGUUUCAGGUCGCUUGGAAAGACUGUGGAGAUCUACAGCAGAUAAGCAUGGCAAUUCAGAUCUUGGACUCCAAAAGUGAUUUGCAGAAGACAUCUUGGAAUGCAUGGGGCUGGAUUUUCUGACGGUUACUGCUCCCAUCUCUGAACAGAAAUGCCUUGCUGAAUGUUGAAUGACCAUCAACUCAACCUUGCCAAGACAGAACUGCUCAU